rnacentral:rRNA from 1 species
AAUUACCCAAUCCUGACACAGGGAGGUAGUGACAAGAAAUAACAAUACAGGGCAAUUGUCUUGUAAUUGGAAUGAUGGUGACCUAAACCCUCACCAGAGUAACAAUUGGAGGGCAAGUCUGGUGCCAGCAGCCGCGGUAAUUCCAGCUCCAAUAGCGUAUAUUAAACUUGUUGCAGUUAAAAAGCUCGUAGUUGAAUUUUUGCGUGGUGUUAAUAUUGACUAAUGUCGAGAUUGCACUUCGCUUUUGGGAUUUAUCCCUUUUUACUUUGAGAAAAUUAGAGUGUUUCAAGCAGACUUUUGUCUUGAAUACUUCAGCAUGGAAUAAUAGAGUAGGACUUUGGUUCUAUUUUGUUGGUUUGUGAACCUUAGUAAUGGUUAAUAGGAACGGUUGGGGGCAUUCGUAUUUAAAA